CCUUGAUUAACUUUUAAGAUAUUAAUCUGCAAGAAAAAAAAAAUUUUAAAAAUAUGCUAAUUUGUUAUAAAAUUAUAUUUCAUAGGAGAUUAAAAUGUUCUGAAGUUAGACUUUAGUAAUGGUCAUACAACUGCACUAAAAGCCAUUCAAUUACACACACACACACACACACACA